rnacentral:rRNA from 1 species
CCUACGGGUGGCAGCAGUGGGGAAUAUUGGACAAUGGGCGACAGCCUGAUCCAGCCAUGCCGCGUGUGUGAAGAAGGCCUUCGGGUUGUAAAGCACUUUCAGUGGGGAAGAAAGCCUUGGGGCUAAUACCCUCGAGGAAGGACAUCACCCACAGAAGAAGCACCGGCUAACUCCGUGCCAGCAGCCGCGGUAAUACGGAGGGUGCGAGCGUUAAUCGGAAUUACUGGGCGUAAAGCGCGCGUAGGCGGUCUGAUAAGCCGGUUGUGAAAGCCCCGGGCUCAACCUGGGAACGGCAUCCGGAACUGUCAGGCUAGAGUGCAGGAGAGGAAGGUAGAAUUCCCGGUGUAGCGGUGAAAUGCGUAGAGAGCGGGAGGAAUACCAGUGGCGAAGGCGGCCUUCUGGACUGACACUGACGCUGAGGUGCGAAAGCGUGGGUAGCAAACAGGAGUAGAUACCCCAGUAGUC